rnacentral:rRNA from 1 species
GACGAACGCUGGCGGCGUGCUUAACACAUGCAAGUCGAACGGAAAGGCCCUGCUUUUGUGGGGUGCUCGAGUGGCGAACGGGUGAGUAACACGUGAGUAACCUGCCCUUGACUUUGGGAUAACUUCAGGAAACUGGGGCUAAUACCGGAUAGGAGCUCCUGCUGCAUGGUGGGGGUUGGAAAGUUUCGGCGGUUGGGGAUGGACUCGCGGCUUAUCAGCUUGUUGGUGGGGUAGUGGCUUACCAAGGCUUUGACGGGUAGCCGGCCUGAGAGGGUGACCGGCCACAUUGGGACUGAGAUACGGCCCAGACUCCUACGGGAGGCAGCAGUGGGGAAUAUUGCACAAUGGGCGGAAGCCUGAUGCAGCAACGCCGCGUGCGGGAUGACGGCCUUCGGGUUGUAAACCGCUUUCGCCUGUGACGAAGCGUGAGUGACGGUAAUGGGUAAAGAAGCACCGGCUAACUAUGUGC